UGGUCAAGCGAGAAAGUGCGCACGGUGGAUGCCUUGGCACAGACCGGCGAUGAAGGACGUGGCAAGCUGCGAAAAGCCUCGGGGAGCUGCAAGCAAGCUCAGAUCCGGGGGUGUCCGAAUGGGGGAACCCGGCGGGAGCAGUCCCGUCACCCUUAGGGGAGCCAACCCAGGGAACUGAAACAUCUAAGUACCUGGAGGAAAAGAAAUCAAUCGAGAUUCCCAGAGUAGCGGCGAGCGAAAAGGGAACAGCCCAAACCCGGGUGAGGAGACUCAACCGGGGGUUGUGGGGCCGCAUCGCAAGGCGAACCGAAGCAUAGCGGAACGGUACUGGAACGUACGACCGCAGAGGGUGAGAGUCCCGUAUGCGAAAUGCGAGUAGACGAGCUGAUGCGGACCCCGAGUAGGCCGGGACACGUGAAACCCUGGCUGAAUCCGGGAGGACCAUCUUCCAAGGCUAAAUACGAGUCUGUGACCGAUAGUGAAGAGUACCGUGAGGGAAAGGUGAAAAGAACGCCUGACGGCGAGUGAAAUAGACCCUGAAACCGUGUGCAUACAAGCGGUCGGAGCCCGGCCCGGAUCUUCGGAUUCCCGGGGGUGGGUGACGGCGUGCCUUUUGCAUUAUGAUCCGGCGAGUUACUCCUCAUGCGCGAGGUUAAGGGCCUCAGGUCCGGAGCCGAAGCGAAAGCGAGUCUGAACAGGGCGACGAGUGCAUGGGGGUAGACCCGAAACCGAAGCGAUCUAUCCAUGGCCAGGGUGAAGCCGGGGUAACACCUGGUGGAGGCCCGAACCGUUGUGGGUUGAAAACUGCUCGGAUGAGCUGUGGAUAGGGGUGAAAGGCCAAUCAAGCUCGGAGAUAGCUGGUUCUCCCCGAAAUAUAUUUAGGUAUAGCCUCAGGUAAUUGUCUC
rnacentral:rRNA from 1 species